AGCAGCCGCGGUAAUUCCAGCUCCAAUAGCGUAUAUUAAAGUUGUUGCAGUUAAAAAGCUCGUAGUUGAAUUUCGGGGUCAGUAGGUUGGUCGUGCCACCGGUACGUACUGGUCUCACUGAUUCCUCCUUCCUGAAGAACCGUAAUGCCAUUAAUUUGGUGUUGCGGGGAAACAGGACUGUUACUUUGAAAAAAUUAGAGUGUUUAAAGCAGGCUAACGCUUGAAUACAUUAGCAUGGAAUAAUGAAAUAGGACGAUCGAUCCUAUUUUGUUGGUUUCUAGGAUUGACGUAAUGAUUAAUAGGGAUAGUUGGGGGCAUUAGUAUUCAAUUGUCAGAGGUGAAAUUCUUGGAUUUAUUGAAGACUAACUACUGCGAAAGCAUUUGCCAAGGAUGUUUUCAUUAAUCAAGAACGAAAGUUAGGGGAUCGAAGACGAUCAGAUACCGUCGUAGUCUUAACCAUAAACUAUGCCGACUAGGGAUCGGAUGAUGUUAAUUUUAUAAUGACUCAUUCGCGCCUUAC
rnacentral:rRNA from 1 species